AUUGAACGCUGGCGGCAUGCCUUACACAUGCAAGUCGAACGGCAGCACGGGAGCUUGCUCCUGGUGGCGAGUGGCGAACGGGUGAGUAAUACAUCGGAACGUACCCUGAAGUGGGGGAUAACGUAGCGAAAGUUACGCUAAUACCGCAUAUUCUGUGAGCAGGAAAGAGGGGGAUCGCAAGACCUCUUGCUUUAGGAGCGGCCGAUGUCGGAUUAGCUAGUUGGUGAGGUUAAAGGCUUCACCAAGGCGACGAUCCGUAGCGGGUCUGAGAGGAUGAUCCGCCACACUGGGACUGAGACACGGCCCCAGACUCCUACGGGAGGCAGCAGUGGGGAAUUUUGGACAAUGGGCGCAAGCCUGAUCCAGCCAUGCCGCGUGAGUGAACGAA
rnacentral:rRNA from 1 species